AAACUGGACCCCCAGGCUAACGUGGAAGCCUCCUUCCCAUCUUUCCCCAAUGUUGCUCACUCCCUCCCCCUUCCUCGCCUGCCGCCUCUCCCUAGCCGCCUCCCGCCACCUCUCGCCAUGCCCGCCGCCGCUCGCCUCCACCCGCUCGCCGCCCACCCUCGUCGUCCGCCGGACCCUCCGAGUGCAAUCAAUUGCCACCCCUGCAGAAGCUACAGCAGGGUUUGAUGAGAUGGCUGCAGGGACUCAGCGGAAGUAUUACAUGCUUGGUGGUAAAGGUGGUGUUGGGAAAACGAGCAGUGCUGCAUCCCUGGCUGUUAAGUUUGCGAAUAAUGGCCAUCCUACCCUUGUAGUGUCUACAGACCCUGCACACUCUUUAAGUGAUUCUUUUGCGCAGGAUUUGAGUGGAGGAACACUGGUGCCAGUUGAUGGACCGGAUUCUCCUCUGUUUGCGCUAGAGAUAAAUCCUGAGAAGGCUAGGGAAGAAUUUCGCAGUGCAAGUCAAAGGAGUGGAGGGACUGGGGUUAAAGAUUUAAUGGACAGUAUGGGUCUUGGACUGCUUGCUGAACAGCUAGGAGAACUAAAACUUGGAGAGUUGCUGGAUACACCUCCUCCUGGACUAGAUGAAGCUAUUGCAAUUUCAAAGGUCAUGCAAUUUGUUGAAGCACAAGAGUAUAGGAUGUUUAGCCGUGUAAUAUUUGAUACUGCUCCAACAGGUCAUACUCUUCGACUUUUGUCCUUGCCAGACUUCUUGGAUGCUUCCAUUGGCAAGAUCAUGAAGCUAAGACAGAAGUUAGCUUCAGCAGCAUCAGCCAUUAAAUCUGUUUUUGGACAAGAAGGACCACAACAGGAUGCUACUGACAAACUAGAGCAACUGAGGGAGAGAAUGAUCAAAGUGAGGGAGCUUUUCCGGGACACUGAGUCAACUGAAUUCAUCAUUGUCACAAUUCCGACAGUCAUGGCAAUUAGUGAGUCAUCGAGACUGUGUUCUUCCUUGAGGAAAGAAAAUGUGCCUGUCAAGAGGCUUGUCAUCAACCAGAUUCUACCACCAUCUGCUUCAGACUGCAAGUUUUGUGCAAUGAAAAGGAAGGAUCAAAUGCGUGCGCUUGAAAUGAUCCAAAAUGAUCCGGAACUCAUGAGCCUGAAGCAAAUCCAAGCACCGCUGGUUGAUGUAGAGAUCAGGGGUGUUCCUGCCCUAAGAUUCAUGGGCGAGAUUGUCUGGAAGUAGCAUCCAGGUACCAGAAAAUGAGCAUGUUGGAGAUCAUAAUUUUGCUAGUGGUCUUGCUCCGUUUAUUCUUCAUACACCAAUACCAGCCCUACGAUCAGCACAUUACUACAUUGGAACUUAAAGGUAAUGCAAAUGACCAUGGUGCAGAAAAAAAUGAAAGAAGACUGGAGUAAGACGAGCAUUCUAAUAGCAAUGAAUCUGGGGCACACUGAUUUGGCUCUGAUGAAGGCAUCUAUGCAUAGGUUGCUGCAAAUUAUGCCUUGGGUACUUGAGAAGGUGAUCCGGAAAAGACUGGGAUAGUUGAGUUUGGCAAGGGUUUAGCUCAGGUACCCUUUUAGUGGAAGGUAGGCAUAAAGGAUUUUUUCAAAAAAAACCAGAUACAUUUUCUGGCACUGAUUUUCCAUUCUCCUGCAAGUAGCUGGAGCACCAUACUGUUGUCAUUUUUUGGGGCAACAUAUGACUUCUAGGUUACCAUAUUCACCUUUGCUGAAGCCAAAAUUACAUCAUAUCUUGGUGCAGCAGAUGAAAUUUGAGAAAAUUUUCUUUUUCAUGAUUGCUAGCUUUCUAAACCCACCAUCUUUUUUGAAGCUGAACUUGCAUCACACACAUACAUACAUACAUGCAUAUACAUACAUAUAUAUAUAUAUAUAUAUAUAUAUAUAUUGUCUCACUUAGGCCUUUUACUAGCUCAAAUUUGUUGAUUCUAUUAUAUCUCCUUUUCUGAAAUUCCAUUAUAAUCUGAAACUAUUUAUAAAAGAAAUAUCAAUGGAAAAUUGGGGAUCACAUUCCAUUUCAGCUUUUUGUUUUAGAAGUUGUACCUUGGAGAGAAUUGUAAGCCCCUUGUGUUUCUUCCUUUUGCAUAGACUUGUUCCCAACUGGGGGAUUGCUACUUGAUCGCAUGAGCAUGAACUGGAUAAUCAAGUAGAGAGGUGUAGCCAUCUAGGUUUAAUCUCAAGCCACAAAGCCCUUUCUUGUCCUGAGGUGUCUUCUUUAUGACUUAGUACCAAUUCUAAAGGAUUGACAUUAGGUUUAAAAAUUGAUUAUAUUGCCUGUUCAAAUUUUAAUGGAUUAUUUCAAAAGUUACUCCUUCCGCAACGGACAAGGCUUAAUGGCUAAUAUGCAAGUAUAAUGUUACUCCUUUUUUGCUUCUAAAACUAUUAAGUUGCUGUAAUGUUGUGUAAAUAACAAUAGAUGAGAUGAAAGCUGAGUGAUCGUGGCAGCAACUAUCUCAUUAAGAAUGUAGGACAUCUGCAAAGAGAACCUGCUUCACAGAAUCUGGUCAAUGGGGAUUUAUAUUUUGAAGGGGUUCAACAAAUAUUAAAUUAGAAAGGUGUGGAUCUUAUUUGGGAGAAAGUAGGUAUGCUUCCUCGUAGCUAAUAUUGCUUCAUUUUAUGGUACUGAUUCUUGGGAAUGACGCUUUACUUGAUUUCUCAUGGUAUAGGGUUCUUGGGUGUUCAAGGUUCUUUUAGGUAUGCAGAUAUGUAUUUGAAAUCAGCUUGGCUUGAUAAGUAAUCAUAAGUUCAUAUUAGGUUUGAUGUUUGAUAUGGAGGUUUUCUUUUAAGGUUUCUUUAGCUUUGUUAAGUGUCUUUUAGAUGGUUUGCAUUUCGCUCUUUAAUAGUGUCUAGAAGUUUGGUCUAGGCCUCAUUUUUGUUCAGGAAUAAUUAAAGAUGGGAAGAGUUUCUUUGCCUUGUCUCUAAACUAGAGUGGAGGAGGUUUUAUAUGAAAAUUCUGUCCUUAAAGGUGCUUAUAUUAGUAGUGGAUUGGUUCUUUUUUACUUAGUGCUCUCUCUUUGAUCUAGACCAAAUUUAUGGUCAUUCUAGGAAAGUUUAUCACUUCUCAUAAGUGUUAUCUGUGUUAGAAAGUUGUAAUAGUUGGUUUUUGUGCUUAUUUGAGACUCUGUUAACAUAUCCUAGCUGGCCUAUACCUUAAAUGUGUGCACAUUACAAUAGUUGAAUUGCUUUCUCACCCCCCUGUUUUUUCGAUGGAGAAGAUUCUUUGGUGGAUUGGCCCUUUGACCAUUGUUCCUGCAUGCUGUAUAAUUAAUGAAUGUGCAAAAUAUCGAGAUUAAUGAGAUAGUAUGGUUGAUGUAAUUGUUUACCAACAACUUGGAUGCAUUUAAUACAGUGUUCUAUUAGGGUCCACUUUGACAAUUUGUAGGCAUCGAAAAUGCUAUUGUAUAGUUGACACUAUUCUCUAUGUCACUAUAUUAAACAUUUUGUGGUUUGAAAGCUCAGAUUUGGUUUUCAGUCAGACCAAAUAUGUAUCAGUUAGGUUCAAACUUAUGAAGAGGUAGCCAUAACUAUCAAUCCUUGUCCCAAUUGAAAAAUGGUCAAACAAAAUCAAAUCAUUCAAGAAUACUAAAUAACAUAGAUGCCAUUGCAAUAUAUAUUAUGUUGUGUAGAACCUUAAAUGUAUCAUUUUGGUAGUUUCACAUUCGAACAAUUAAAAGAUUGUAUUUUAAAAAUAAAAAUGUUUAGAAGUUGAUGUUUAUGGUGUUUUAUAUUAUUGCUGCAUUAAUAUAUGAUGACAGCAGUGUCUAAAUUGAGUUCUAGAAUAGCUAGACCUAUGUCAACAUAUUUGCUUUUCCUCUGAAUCUCUAUAUGGUCUAAAAUCAUAUUGCUUUUGGAAGUUCUGAAGACUUGGAAAGUCUACAUCUUGCUUGGCACCUCAUCCCCUUAUCUUCUCUUGGAACAUGGUGCUAGAUAAUGUCACUAUCUUCUCAGAAGAGGAAUUCUUUUCAUGGUAGAAGGAUUAGAAUCUUCUCGCAGAAUGACUUUGGUUGCUUGGAGAAGAAAACCAAGGGCUAUGCUAUUUUUAAGCAACUGGACCUUUUCUAGCUAUCUAAGUGGUCAGAAGUUAGAAUAUACAGCUAAGUGGUCAGAAGUCAGAAUAUAUCUAAGGCCGUUAAGGUGGAGUUUGCUACUUAUGUUCUGAGUAUAGGUGAGUUAUGUUAGACUCUUUUUGAAACCACAUUGCAAUACGGGAACUUUAACACUUUAUCUAUUAUGCAUAGAAAGGAUGAGGAGUGAGAUAGCCGUCUUCUUAUGCAUGUUGGAUUAGCCUCAUAAUGUUUUGGGCAUUUGUGUAUACCUUAGCAGAUUCUUGGAUUUUAAUUGCUGGAUGGCAUUGUAAUGUAUCAUAAUUGCAAAGAUCUGUUGGAGCUCAUUCUGGGAGCAAUUUCUGGGGACAUCUGCUGGGAAAAUUAUCUUGAAAACGAAAUCUAUUUUCAGUGGUAACAGUAAAUAAAAUAGUUGAGACUGAUAUAAGUUUGGCUAGCUUUGUGUUUCAAAUUUUCUGCUAAAAAUUUUCUGAAAAUUUUUGCUAACUUAUUUUCAAGUUGUAGUGAGAUUUAGGGGAAAGUAUAAAAGAUAACUCGCUAUCAUUGAGAAAAGGUGGUGGCCUAGAACUAGGGAUGCAAUAUUUGAGAACAUUACAUGACAACCAAAUAUAAAUUAAACAGAAAAACUAUAGAUGGAGAAGCAUGUGGCAGAGAAAACAACAUACAGAGCUCCUAGUAUUGACAGCAAGAGGAGAACUCCCUCAUCUUAAACUUUUCUCUGAAAAAUUAUUAUGUUACUCAAACAGUUAGGCAUUUUGUCAUACUUCAAAUACCUACUACAUGGGUUUAUAUAGAUGACAAGGUGACCGUUCACAUGGUCAGUGUAGUAAUAAAAUUUAAAGAACAUGUGUGAAAUAGCAAAGGAUAUGUAAUGUUUUCAUGACACUACAAAGACAUCUAACUUAUGCAUCAAAUAUCCAAGGGACAUUUUUAUGACCCUAUGCAAAAAUCUUCGAGAUAGCAUGAAAUCACAUAGCAUGAGGAAGGUGGUGCCUGAAACAGGGAUAGAUACCACCGUGCAUUUGAUAAUUACAAAAAACAAAAAAAAAACACAACUUUGAUGUUAGUUUAUGUGGAAAUCAGAGAUGCUUAUACGUGUGAGUUUAAUUGAUGCGAGUUGUAUAAUAUGACUUCAAGAGUGAAACUGAUUGGUCUGGAUGUAAUACAAUAGAAAAUCUUAUAAAUGCUGUUUAUAUGCAUGUAUGUCAUGUAUAUACAACAACAGCUGAAAUUAGUUUUUUCCCCUCCUCUUGGAUCGAUGAGAUCACCUUCGCUCAAAAGCUUGGUGCCAACUAUGUGGUGGAUCUUCUUGCCAAAGACAAAAUUUGAAGAAAAUUGGCUGUAGGCCUCUCUUACCCUUGAUUGUCUAAUCUUUUCUUUACAAGAUCAUUCAUUAGUAUUGUAUAUGUAAUAUGAUUCAUUACCUUUCCCAUGAACAGACAUGAACUUGUGUCAUCUCCAAUGUUACCUCAUGCUGAGAAUUGAUGAUAAAUGAACAAAAGAGGUCAAGGUGUACAACACCAGUACCAGUACUUGUACCAGUACCUUACUGGUACGGGCGGCACAGUAUGCCAUGGUAUGCUUCUUGGUUUCCGGACAAAAAAAUAAAAUAAAAAGGAUGUGAAACCAUGUAUCCUUACACUGCCUGUAUGGGGGGCAUAGUGGAGUACUGGUACCUUACCGGUAAGAUCCAGUACUGUCAGUAUGGAUUGGUACGCACUGGGAUGUAAAUUGUUGAAACAGAUAAUAUUUUGACUGUCUUCAUAUUUAUGGUCAAAUAUCUGUGCUUUAUGGUUUAAUUCUUUGAUUGUGUAAAAGUUUUCUUGUAUCUUAAUUUAGUUAACAAAUUGCUUAAUCUUCUGGAUACAUGCAGAUAGAUGCUUACAUCAAGCUGCCACUUGGGAUCAUAUACCUAAAUUGCAAGGGAGAUUUUUGGCAACUGAGAAUUACUUUUAUAGAUCAAAUGUGAAUUCUGUUUUCAGUUUUUUUUUAUUUCUCUUGAAUGACUAUAUAUCCCUUUGAUGUCAAGGUAGGGGUAUCCGUGCUAUCAAAUUCAAUCAACGUACUUGCGAGCAGCCUAUUUGCAAAUAAGCUUAUGUCAAAUAAAAACUCUGUUUGCUUUGGAUAAGUUUGCUA